UCCUACGGGGGGCUGCAGUAGGGAAUAUUGGGCAAUGGGCGAAAGCCUGACCCAGCCAUGCCGCGUGAGUGAUGAAGGCCUUCGGGUCGUAAAACUCUUUUCUGAGGGAAGAAAAGUUGAGGGAGGAAAUGCCCUUGACCUGACGGUACCUCAGGAAUAAGCAACGGCCAACUCCGUGCCAGCAGCCGCGGUAAUACGGAGGUUGCGAGCGUUGUUCGGAAUAACUGGGCGUAAAGGGAGCGCAGGCGGUCUGGUGUGUACGGAGUGAAAGCCCGGGGCUUAACCUCGGAAGCGCUUUAGAUACUACCAGACUUGAGUACGGGAGAGGAGAGUGGAAUUCCAGGUGUAGCGGUGAAAUGCGUAGAUAUCUGGAGGAACACCGGUGGCGAAAGCGGCUCUCUGGCCCGAUACUGACGCUCAUGCUCGAAAGCGUGGGGAGCAAACGGGAUUAGAUACCCGGGUAGUCAAC
rnacentral:rRNA from 1 species